GCAGUUUAUCAAACGAGGGAGAAGAUGAGAUGAUCAGAGAUCAAUAAAAGUUUGGUUUUUGUUCAUUUUACUCGGUGGUGAAGUUGGGUAUUGCCUGAAGAAAAAAUACUACUUUCAUGUACUCAACGGGACUUGGUUGGGCCGAAUAAAGCGGAUUGUUUUCUGAGAUCCAUGAGCGGAAGAAACAAGAUGGCGAACCAACCCUGAACCAUGAAAGUGAUCCUAGCGAAGGACCAAGCGCCCUCUGCUGGACACUGGACAACCUUUUUCUGCUGGAACUGCAGGUGGCGUUUGAGUCUGUGAGGCGGCAUGGAGACGUUAGCCAGCAUCAAAAUGGCAGAAGGACCAGAGUCAUCGUCUGUCGACUUUGUUGCUCUCCAGUCUUACAGGUUGGUAAGGCAGUAAGAUAUGCAAAAUGGAUCAUAAAAUAUAAAUAUUCAACACAUUUAAUUGAGAGGUAUCACUUUAGUGAACAAAUACUGCACUGUUAUUUAGGGGUUUAACAGUACACUAAAAUCUCAAAUCAGUUCAGAAUUUCAAUGGACUCUGCUCAAUACAUUUUUUUUCUGCCUUUUUUGCUACAAAAAGGCAGAAAAAAAAGUCUUGCGAAAUGCAUUUAUUGGUUUUAUAUAAGAAUAAUAAAAUUAACCUAUGGUGGUGAUCUGCUAUAUAAAAUAAAACAACUAUUUGAUGUCAGGAACCAAAAACUUUGGAUACUUAACAAUGGCCUCAAAAAGACAAAAAACAUUUUAACUUGCACAAUUUUCUUUCUUGUAGACCCGAUUUUUACAGUCUGGUGAUGCCGUUUUAAGUUGGAUAACAGAUUAGAUGUUAUCUGUGGCUGAUGCUAUCUUCAUGUAAGAAUAAAAUGUGGAAACACAGCAUUCAACUUC